CGCAGGGAGAAGCAAACACAACUCGCCAGGGAUCUGCAGGCGGCCACCACGUCCCUACUCAGUGUAAAGAUAGACUCGGAAAAAAUGAAAACGGGAGAGAAGAAAUCGGCUGGCGGACAGGAGUCCGAAGAGAAGAAAGGAGGUGAAAAAUUGUGGAAAAGACCCUUCAGGUCAGCAUCUGCCACUGCGCUCAGCACCGCCAGGUACAAGGAGGUGGUGAAAGGCUGGUUUGA